GACGAACGCUGGCGGCGUGCCUAAUACAUGCAAGUCGAGCGGACCAAGAGGUGCUUGCACCUCUUGGUUAGCGGCGGACGGGUGAGUAACACGUGGGCAACCUGCCUAUGAGACUGGGAUAACUCCGGGAAACCGGGGCUAAUACCGGAUAAUUCUUUUCUACACAUGUAGAAAAGUUGAAAGAUGGUUUCGGCUAUCACUCAUAGAUGGGCCCGCGGCGCAUUAGCUAGUUGGUGAGGUAACGGCUCACCAAGGCGACGAUGCGUAGCCGACCUGAGAGGGUGAUCGGCCACACUGGGACUGAGACACGGCCCAGACUCCUACGGGAGGCAGCAUG
rnacentral:rRNA from 1 species